rnacentral:rRNA from 1 species
CCUACGGGUGGCAGCAGUGAGGAAUAUUGGUCAAUGGACGAGAGUCUGAACCAGCCAAGUAGCGUGAAGGAUGACUGCCCUAUGGGUUGUAAACCUCUUUUAUCUGGGAAUAAAAUGUUCCACGUGUGGCAUUUUGUGUGUACCAUAAGAAUAAGCAUCGGCUAACUCCGUGCCAGCAGCCGCGGUAAUACGGAGGAUUCGAGCGUUAUCCGGAUUUAUUGGGUUUCAAGGGAGCGUAGGGGGAUUGUUAAGUCAGGUGUCAAAGUUUGCGGCUCAACCCUAUUAGUGCAGUUGAAACUGGCAGUCUUGAGUACAGUAGAGGUAUGCGGAAUGCGUGGUGUAGCGGUGAAAUGCAUAGAUAUCACGAAGAACUCCGAUUGCGAAGGCAGUACACCGGACUGCAACUGACGCUGAGGCACGAAAGUGUGGGUAUCGAACAGGAUUAGAUACCCUUGUAGUC